GAUUCCCCCAGUAGCGGCGAGCGAACGGGGAGGAGCCCAGAGCCUGAAUCAGUGUGUGUGUUAGUGGAAGCGUCUGGAAAGGCGCGCGAUACAGGGUGACAGCCCCGUACACAAAAAUGCACAUGCUGUGAGCUCGAUGAGUAGGGCGGGACACGUGGUAUCCUGUCUGAAUAUGGGGGGACCAUCCUCCAAGGCUAAAUACUCCUGACUGACCGAUAGUGAACCAGUACCGUGAGGGAAAGGCGAAAAGAACCCCGGCGAGGGGAGUGAAAAAGAACCUGAAACCGUGUACGUACAAGCAGUGGGAGCCUCUUAAUGGGGUGACUGCGUACCUUUUGUAUAAUGGGUCAGCGACUUAUAUUCUGUAGCAAGGUUAACCGAAUAGGGGAGCCGAAGGGAAACCGAGUCUUAACUGGGCGUUAAGUUGCAGGGUAUAGACCCGAAACCCGGUGAUCUAGCCAUGGGCAGGUUGAAGGUUGGGUAACACUAACUGGAGGACCGAACCGACUAAUGUUGAAAAAUUAGCGGAUGACUUGUGGCUGGGGGUGAAAGGCCAAUCAAACCGGGAGAUAGCUGGUUCUCCCCGAAAGCUAUUUAGGUAGCGCCUCGUGAAUUCAUCUCCGGGGGUAGAGCACUGUUUCGGCAAGGGGGUCAUCCCGACUUACCAACCCGAUGCAAACUGCGAAUACCGGAGAAUGUUAUCACGGGAGACACACGGCGGGUGCUAACGUCCGUCGUGAAGAGGGAAACAACCCAGACCGCCAGCUAAGGUCCCAAAGUCAUGGUUAAGUGGGAAACGAUGUGGGAAGGCCCAGACAGCCAGGAUGUUGGCUUAGAAGCAGCCAUCAUUUAAAGAAAGCGUAAUAGCUCACUGGUCGAGUCGGCCUGCGCGGAAGAUGUAACGGGGCUAAACCAUG
rnacentral:rRNA from 1 species